AGUGAACGCUGGCGGUAGGCCUAACACAUGCAAGUCGAACGGCAGCACAGUAAGAGCUUGCUCUUACGGGUGGCGAGUGGCGGACGGGUGAGGAAUACAUCGGAAUCUACUUUUUCGUGGGGGAUAACGUAGGGAAACUUACGCUAAUACCGCAUACGACCUACGGGUGAAAGCAGGGGAUCUUCGGACCUUGCGCGAUUGAAUGAGCCGAUGUCGGUUUAGCUAGUUGGCGGGGUAAAGGCCCACCAAGGCGACGAUCCGUAGCUGGUCUGAGAGGAUGAUCAGCCACACUGGAACUGAGACACGGUCCAGACUCCUACGGGAGGCAGCAGUGGGGAAUAUUGGACAAUGGGCGCAAGCCUGAUCCAGCCAUACCGCGUGGGUGAAAAAGGCCUUCGGGUUGUAAAGCCCUUUUGUUGGGAAAGAAAAGCAGCAGGUUAAUACCCCGCUGUUCUGACGGUACCCAAAGAAUAAGCACCGGCUAACUUCGUG
rnacentral:rRNA from 1 species